rnacentral:rRNA from 1 species
UACGGGGGGGGCAAGCGUUGUUCGGAAUUACUGGGCGUAAAGGGCUCGUAGGUGGCCAACUAAGUCGGACGUGAAAUCCCUCGGCUUAACCGGGGAACUGCGUCUGAUACUGGAUGGCUUGAGUUCGGGAGAGGGAUGCGGAAUUCCAGGUGUAGCGGUGAAAUGCGUAGAUAUCUGGAGGAACACCCGUAGCGAAGGCGGCACUCUGGGCCGGUACUGACGCUGAGGAGCGAAAGCGUGGGGAGCAAACAGG